AAAAGAUAAAACAUUAAAUUGCAGUGAAGAAUUUCAAUCUAAGGAUUACAUGGCAAGUUGCUUACAGGUCAGGAGACCCAUAGCACUGAUGAUAAGAGUAUUUACACAAAGAUCCAAAAUUGCAAUCCCCAUACUUCAUGUAAUAAUGACAUUCAGGUAGACGGUAGCCCAGGUCUUCUAUUCCAAACUGUGAUUUACAUUGUGAGGUUUUCUAAUAUUGGACUUGCUGCUAAUUAACCCAAG
rnacentral:misc_RNA from 1 species